rnacentral:hammerhead_ribozyme from 1 species
AUCUAGCUGAUGACUUCUAAAAUAGGACGAAACAUGCGUCCUGGAU